rnacentral:rRNA from 1 species
AGCUAUCUGAAAGUUUUGACUCAAUACUCAAAAUUAUCCUAAAAUCUAAAAAGUGCACGCGCGCUAUUCUGUCAAACUGAGCGGCCGCGCCUCGACCGCUUGUUCCGUGCGAAUCGUGCAGCCCAGGAGAGUCAGGUGUUUUUUUUUGUCGGGUUCGUCUCUGUCCCUCUAGUCCUCUUUCCAUUCCCACACAAGCCGCUGCCCUCCCUAGAUCUCAUCCUCCACACGAAUCCUUCUCUGCCUCCAUCCAGCAGCAGCAGCCACAUCGGCGGCGAGGACAGCUCCGCCCCAGCGCGGUUUCAAGCUGCAGGUGAACCCGGACGGAUCCGAGGAGCUCCGUGUCGGAUCCGGCCGUCCCACGUCUUCGUGUGGGCUCCGCUGCCUGGACGCUUUCACGAUGCCGCCGAGCCCUGCGCCGACGCCCCUCGCAAUCCUCAAAUCCGACGCCAUCAAGAGCUCGUAUGCCACCUAUGGAGGAGGGUGAAGGGAGCAGCAGUCACCAUGAGGCCUUGGUGUGGCUGCAGCGGCUGGGAGAGGAGGAAACACGGGUUUGGAUCUAGCCGGAGCAGCCGGUGGAGAAGGAAGCACGGACGCAAAGGGGGAAGGGAGCUCGUCCUCGAUCUGGAGAACAGCGGCUAGGAAAUGGAGUUCUUUUUGUGUGGCCGCUGCUUGUGUAGCUUGUUUUGUGGAGAAUUUAGCGAGACGAGGACGUGUUGGAGUUUGCCGACUGAUUUCUUUUUGCUUCGCAGUGCUACUGCUUAUCGUGCAUGUAGCAUAGCAUGUGCUGUUGUUACUCCAAGAGUAUUUGCUUUUUUUUACUUAAAAUGGUGCUUGUGGAGAUCCACGUUGCUGACUUUUCUUAAGAACCACUAGAUCAUUGAUCGUUGCUGACUUUGCAGCCACGGGAGAAGAAGAAGAAGAGCAUCCACGAGCUCAAUCCUCAGAGCGGUUGUUUUCUCCGUUUAGAGCCAGCAGCAAACGAAUCGAUUGAUUCGUAACAGGAACCUUAUCUUUUGAUUCUUUUGCAUUUUUGUCCUCUGUUUUCUAUUGAAUGUAUGUGUC